GGCCCAAAUCUCAAAAAGGAUAGAUCAGUAAGGUCAGCUGAUCCUACCGUUCUACUGUACUUCAAAAUUGGGCCG
rnacentral:pre_miRNA from 1 species